rnacentral:rRNA from 1 species
UACGAAGGGGGGCUAGCGUUGCUCGGAAUCACUGGGCGUAAAGCGCACGUAGGCGGCUUUCUAAGUCAGGGGUGAAAUCCUGGAGCUCAACUCCAGAACUGCCUUUGAUACUGGAGAGCUUGAGUCCGGAAGAGGUGAGUGGAACUCCGAGUGUAGAGGUGAAAUUCGUAGAUAUUCGGAAGAACACCAGUGGCGAAGGCGGCUCACUGGACCGGUACUGACGCUGAUGCGCGAAAGCGGUGGGGAGCAAACGGG